AUUGAACGCUGGCGGCAUGCUUUACACAUGCAAGUCGAACGGCAGCGCGGGCUUCGGCCUGGCGGCGAGUGGCGAACGGGUGAGUAAUACAUCGGAACGUGCCCAGUAGUGGGGGAUAGCUCGGCGAAAGCCGGAUUAAUACCGCAUACGACCUGAGGGUGAAAGCGGGGGAUCUUUGGACCUCGCGCUAUUUGAGCGGCCGAUGGCAGAUUAGCUAGUUGGUGGGGUAAAGGCCUACCAAGGCGACGAACUGUAGCUGGUCUGAGAGGACGACCAGCCACACUAGGACUGAGACACGGCCCAGACUCCUACGGGAGGCAGCAGUGGGGAAUUUUGGACAAUGGGCGAAAGCCUGAUCCAGCAAUGCCGCGUGUGUGAUGAAGGCCUUCGGGUUGUAAAGCACUUUUGGCGGGAACGAAAAGGACUGUGCCAAUACCACGGUUCGAUGACGGUACCCGCAGAAUAAGCACCGGCUAACUACGUG
rnacentral:rRNA from 1 species